AAACAUCGCCUCUUGUGGAAUAUAAGAGGUCCAGCCUGCCCAGUGACCCUGUUCAACGGCCGCGGUAUCCUAACCGUGCGAAGGUAGCGUAAUCACUUGUCCUUUAAAUGAGGACUAGUAUGAAUGGCACCACGAAGGUUUUACUGUCUCCUCCCUCCAAUCAGUGAAACUAAUCUCCCCGUGAAGAAGCGGGGAUACCCAUAUAAGACGAGAAGACCCUAUGGAGCUUUAAACAAAGCAACAACUGCUAUCAUGAAUUCUGACUUCAGAGACUAACCUAUAGCCUAGCACUAUGUUUGCUAGUUUUAGGUUGGGGUGACCGCGGAGUAAAAAUCAACCUCCACGAUGAAAGGAUUUCCUCCUAAGCAAAAAAACCACAACUUUAUGCAUCAACAAACUGACAUCAUUUGACCCAAUAUUUUGAUCAACGAACCAAGUUACCCUAGGGAUAACAGCGCAAUCCGCUUCAAGAGCCCCUAUCGACAAGCGGGUUUACGACCUCGAUGUUGGAUCAGGGUAUCCUAGUGGUGCAGCCGCCACUAAUGGUUUGUUUGUUCAACAAUUAAAACCCUA
rnacentral:rRNA from 1 species